UACGAAGGGGGCUAGCGUUGCUCGGAAUCACUGGGCGUAAAGGGCGCGUAGGCGGCCGAUCAAGUCGGGGGUGAAAGCCUGUGGCUCAACCACAGAAUUGCCUUCGAUACUGUUUGGCUUGAGACCGGAAGAGGUAAGUGGAACUGCGAGUGUAGAGGUGAAAUUCGUAGAUAUUCGCAAGAACACCAGUGGCGGAAGGCGGCUUACUGGUCCGGUACUGACGCUGAG
rnacentral:rRNA from 1 species